rnacentral:misc_RNA from 1 species
GUUUGGCUUAUAUAAUUGUCUAUAAAUAGGCCAUGCACACAUUAUGUAAACAGGUUUUGAGUUUUGAGAAUCAAUAUAAUUCUGAGCUUUAUGCUUGUUUAAAUCCUACACUUAUCUCUUCAUAAGAGUACCGUGUGCUUUGAGUCUUAUUACCGUUAUGGUGUGACGACUUGAUUUGGAAAUUCAUCCAAGAUUGAUUCAAGAUUGUUCAAGAAGCAUGCAGGAUCCUUGUUCUUGAAUUAAUUUCAAGUCGGCGUGCACUUUGCAUAUUCAAAUCUGAUGUGAUUCAAUCAUACAAGAUUGAAUUGAUCAAGUUGUGUCAAUACAACUCCAUUCGCGUGCAACCAGCAUUGGCUUGCCAUUGUUCCAACUUCUUUAAUUUCUUUUUUCUGAGUUGUUUUCAUUGUAUUGAGUUGUUUGGGUUGCUAGAAUGUUUGGUGCAUGUUAAAAAUUCUUUGCUGAGUGUUUAAUUUGUUACAAUUGUGUGAACAUUUGGCUUGUUUCAAUAGUUGAUCAAAUUGCAUUAUUGUUAUUAUUCUGAUUUCUACUUUUUUGUUGAUUGUAACUUUUUAAGGCACACCAGAACUGCACUCGUUAAUAUGUAUGGUAAGUGUGGAAGCAUUCGAAGAACCAGUAAGGCCUUUGUGGAGAUGUCCACAAGAACUAUGAUAUCAUGGACUCCACUGAUUACUCGAUUUGCACAGCAUGGUCAGUGACCGCCAGCACCGCAACUUUUGAGGAUAUGAGGCUAACAGGGUUUAGACAAACCAGAUUACUUUUGUUGGUGUUUUGGCUGCUUGCAGCCAUGCUGGAAUUAUUGACAAAGCACUUGGAUCCUUCGAGAUGAUGCAAAAAGAAUACAGAAUUAAGCCUGUGAUGGAC